GAUAAACGCUGGCGGCGUGCUUAACACAUUCAAGUCGAACGAAGCACUUUAGUCGGAGACUUCGGUCAAAGACUGAUUUGACUUAGUGGCGGACGGGUGAGUAACGCGUGAGCAACCUGCCUUUGUGAGGGGAAUAACGUUGGGAAACUGACGCUAAUACCGCAUAACGUAUGAUGGGGACAUCCCCCGGACAUUACCCAAAAGGAUUUUAUCGGCACAAAGAUGGGCUCGCGUCUGAUUAGAUAGUUGGUGAGGUAACGGCUCACCAAGUCGACGAUCAGUAGCCGGACUGAGAGGUUGGCCGGCCACAUUGGGACUGAG
rnacentral:rRNA from 1 species